rnacentral:tRNA from 1 species
UCCCUCGUGGUGUAGUGGCAGCAUACAGGUCCGUGGCACCUAUGGCUUUGGUUCGAUUCCGAACGAGGGAA